rnacentral:rRNA from 1 species
UGCCAGCCGCCGCGGUAAUACGGAGGAUGCAGGCGUUAUCCGGAUUUAUUAGGUUUAAAGGGUGUCUAGGCUGCCACAUAAGUCAGAGGUGAAAGUCGGUUGCUCAACAAUCGAAUUGCCUUUGAAACUGUGUGGCUCGAAUAUAGAUGAGGUAGGCGGAAUGUGUAGUGUAGCGGUGAAAUGCAUAGAUCCCAUCGGGACCACCUGUGGCGAAGGCGGCUUACUGGGACAGAUCCGACGGUCAGGCACGAAAGCUAGGGUAGCGAAGCGGAUUAGAUA